GUGAGCGCUCCUGAUAAACAGCCCGGAGCCCAGCCGCCGCGCAGCCGGGCGGGAGGCUGCGUAUCAGAGCUCCUGGCAGGCUCGCAAAAAGCUGUCCCCGGCCCGCCGCCGCUCUAUCAGCCCACGGAGGGAGGGCGGCGGGGGAGGGAGGGAAAAAGUAUUUGCUUCAGCCCUUAAUCACGGAAUUUGAAAUCCCAGCGAGUCGGUGCCAUUUAUUUUCAGAGGCUGUCAAGGCUGGUUUCAGCAUUUAAAAGAAAGGAGGAUAAAAAGCAUUUGCAUUUCUCCCCCACUCUCGCUGCGCGCUCGCCGGCGCUCCCCCUCGUUCUCUGCGCAGCUCGCGGGUCGGGCGUUGGCGGCGGGGGGGGGAGGCCAGAGGCUUUUCAAGGCGCUGGGGGCUCCGGCCGGCCCGGUGGGGGCCUCCCCCCGCCAGGGUCAGGGGUGUCGGGCGAUUCCGGGGUGGGGGCCCGAAUCUGGUCCAGUGGGGCUCUGGGUGGCAGAGGGAGGAACGCUGAGCGGGGCUGCUGGCUUGGGGAAUUUGGGGCAGUCCGCGAGGCUCUCCUCGGGCUCCAAGCUUUCACCCCAGAAAACAGCCCUGAACCCCAAAUUUGCUCCAGCCCCAGGGGGCCCUACCUGCCCUUCCUGGCUUCCCCAGUGGAAAUCUAAGAUACUGGAGGCUUCCAGGGGAGCCAGGGCACCCCUAGGACAACCCCCUCCCUCUGCAGAUGGGGAAACUAAGGCCUGGAAACAGAAAACGGUGGGACCAAGGUCACAUGAUGGCGGAAGGAGGACAAGGAAGGAGGCCGACUGCGUAUCCAGCACGUGUUCCGUGCCAAGCCUGUGCGGGGGCCAAGGACCGGGGUCUCUGGACAGCGCCGGUUGCUGGGUCCCACGCUGGGCGACAGGGCCUUUGCAAUCAGGCCGACAGGGUUUGAACCCUUGCCACGGCACUUUCCAGAUGGCCUUGGCCACUGUCCCCUCUCUGACCUUCAGAUGGAGCCCAUGGCACCUCCGGAGGGGGUGUGUGCUUCAAGGACCAAAUCCACUUGUGCGUGGUUUGGCACGAGGUGGGGGGAGGCGGCUCAGCCACCGGGACCUGUCCUACCUCCACCCUCUGUGCAACCUCUUUCCUUGCCUUUUGUCUCUGUUGCUUUUGGGGGGUGAUUAGCCGCUAGCUCAGCGGCUAGAGUAUUCUCUCCCGGAAAAGGCUCCGGAGUUGAGGCCCAGACCCCCAGGGCAAGACGGAAUCUGCUCCCCAGGGCACUAUCUGAGACUGGGUUCCCUCACUGGUAAAAUGAGAAAACUCACUUAUGGUCAGGGGUCCCCGAGUUAAUAAUGCCAGUGAAUUCCUUGGCAGAGCAUCAAGCACUUGGAGAAGCCCCCACCCCCGGUCAUUGUGAUGAUGGUUUGUUUGUUUGUUUGUUUGUUUUGAGACGGAGUCUCGCUCUGUCGCCCAGGCUGGAGUGCAGUGGCGCGAUCUCGGCAGGCUGCAAGCUCCGCCUCCCGGGUUCACGCCAUUCAGGGGAGUCGCGCUGAGACACCGCAUAGCGCCCAUGCCCUCCAUAGCGGAGGAAAGAACCCCGGGCUGUGUUGAGGAAGCCUCCUACUUUUGCCUGAAGUGAGGUCUCCUAUAGAGAGAAGCAUUGACUGGGGACACUCGCUGGGUUGCGUUUUGCUGGUGGCUGGGCUGGAAGGUCCACAAAGGCUCACUUCAUGUGAGUGGCACCUCAGGGCUCUUCCACAGGCCCUUCUCUCCAUGCAGCUCUCUUGGGCUUCCUCACAGCAUGGCGGGGUUUUUCACGGUGGCUGGCUUCCAAGAGGAAGCACUUCAAGCUGGGUGAGAGCAGAUGCCUCAAAUCUUUGCAGCCUCAGCCUCGGAAAUCACACAGCGUUGCUUCUGCUGCAUCCUGUUGAUGAAAGCCAGUCCUGGAGUCAGCCCAGAUCCAAGGGGAGGAGGAAAAGACUCCAGGUCUUGCUGAGAAGAAUGACUAAGAAUCUGCAGCCAUCUCCAAUCCACCACGCCCAUGCAAGUGACGGGAGUGAUAUUUGCAACCAAGAUGGUGAACGGCAGCAGAUUGGUCACUGUUUCCAGUUAUUCACCAUCCUCCCAGUGAGAGGAUUAUCCAUCCUGCCCCAUUGCUACGUGACAUGCAGAGCUUCCAGUGCUGGGUACACUUCCCCUCCCCACCAAAUCAUGUUUGGCCACGUGACUUGCUUUAGCCAGUGAAUCCAGAGCCCAAGUCCUAGCAGGCCAUUCAAAGGAGAAGCUUCAAGAGUCAUCACGUGGGUUGGCCAGCCUGCCUGCACUUUUCCCUUUAAACAGAGCUGUGUUUUCUAGAGAGGGGCCUCACACAAGCCUCCCUGUUCCACAGAAUACAAAUCCAAUUGGUAAGACUUCUAUCCA